rnacentral:rRNA from 1 species
GACGAACGCUGGCGGCGUGCUUAACACAUGCAAGUCGAACGGAAAGGCCCUGCUUUUGUGGGGUGCUCGAGUGGCGAACGGGUGAGUAACACGUGAGUAACCUGCCCUUGACUUUGGGAUAACUUCAGGAAACUGGGGCUAAUACCGGAUAGGAGCUCCUGCUGCAUGGUGGGGGUUGGAAAGUUUCGGCGGUUGGGGAUGGACUCGCGGCUUAUCAGCUUGUUGGUGGGGUAGUGGCUUACCAAGGCUUUGACGGGUAGCCGGCCUGUGAGGGUGACCGGCCACAUUGGGACUGAGAUACGGCCUAGACUCCUACGGGGGGCAGCAGUGGGGAAUAUUGCACAAUGGGCGGAAGCCUGAUGCAGCAGCGCCGCGUGCGGGAUGACGGCCUUCGUGUUGUAAACCUCUUUCGCCUGUGACGAAGCGUGAGUGACGGUAAUGGGUAAAGAAGCUCCGGCUAACUACGUG